CCACAAGCACAUUGCACUUGUUACCCUGACCACCAGAAAAUAUCUUUAUUUUAUUCCCAGCUCCCGUCAGCUUUUUCCCUUCAAAAAUUCGAUUUUCUGUGCCAGCAGCACAUUAAGACAUCGCAGCUUCCCUUUUCCGGGUUGGGAAUUCAGAUUUUUUUUGAGCUCCUGUGUGGAGCUCUGGUACCACCUAGUGUUUGGUGGGAAGCCUCAGCUGCUGGAUGUGGAUUUUCCUCGCUCAUGUCGCGACAGAAGGUGGCGAUAGGGGCGAGGAGGAGCGGCAGCGUCUCCUCCUCCAGCUGCUUUCAGGGUGAGAAAUUAAAUUCACACUCUUAAAAUUGGAAGAGUUUAAUGUAUAAGAAGAGGUAGAAUAUAAAGCAAAAGAUGCUUGGUUAGGCCAUUGUACAAGCAAACAAGCAGAUUCUAUAAAUAAAAGAAAAUAAAAAUUACCAUAAAAGAAAAUAAAAAUUACAAUAAAAGAAAAUUUACAAUCAGAUUAUUUCAUGGAAUGAUUUUGCAGAUUUAUUUUGGGCUUGUUAGCUACAAUUUUGCUUCAGAUUUUUGCAGUGUUUGCACAAUUUUGUAGUUGUAGACCUCAGCAGUUUUGGGUGGUUUUCUGAUUUUUUGGGGCUACUUUAACUUUGGUACUUUUCCUUUGGUGGUAUUUUUGUUUUCUGCUUCUGCCAUCUUGGAUAUCUAUUUUGCAAGUUUAUUUCAAAAUAUUUUUUUGCAAGCUCGUUUCUUGUAAAGGCCUUGCUUCCUUCUUUUGCAUUGUUUAUAAGCUAUUAUAAAAUGUCUAUAUUUAAAAGCAGGUUAAAAUUUAUAUUAAUUCUUUUCAAAUAGUUAUAAUUUUAUUACUAAAACAAAUAAAUUGUAGUGAGAGCCAACUACUACAAUAAUAAUUUAUAACAGGAACAACUCAGAAUUACAGAAUAUCCUGAUUUUCAUUCAGUCCUCUGCACAGAAUCAUCCCCAAUGUUAUAAAUGAUAAUAUAUUUAUUGAUUUUUGUAUUUAUAUAUUAGCUUCUGUCAGUUAUUAUUGAUUAUAAAGAUUUUGAUACAGUAUAAUUUGUCAUUUUUUUUAAUUGUUUUUGAUGUAUUAUAAUUUGUUAGGUUUUGUAUGUAGGAGCUACCUAAUUACCUUACACUAUUCUCUGAGUUAGUUAUAUUAAUAAAAGCAUUUUAACAUCAGAUAGUUUUUAUU
rnacentral:lncRNA from 1 species